rnacentral:lncRNA from 1 species
GCCGCGCGCAGGGCUUCCAAGCCCGAGGCCAGGCUGGAUAACGGGACCCGGAGGCCGAAAGCGGAGCUGGCCGACCUGUUCUACAGUGUCUACUCAAGAAGUGUGAGGACCAGCUAGCUACCAUGCCCAGGAGAGGUUUGACUUCUGGCGGUUUCACCUCUGAUGGCUGCACAACCAAACACUGUGUAUGUGUGUGGCAUAUUUCUUGAAAAGCUUUCUUCAGAUCCUCUGCAUGUUCAUGUCUCGGAGAAGCGUCCGUGGGGAAGGAUUUGGCAUCGACAUCACAUCCUCCCAGCUUGCCCGUGUUGAAGAACUCCGUUUCUUUCAACCCAGGUCGCUAAUGCCUCUGUUGGAGAAUUGUUUUCCUCUCAAAACAACCAGGGGAUGAGCUGAACUGGUAACUCAGGCUUCCAUGGGCUUCCGGUAGCCCUCUAUGCAGCCUGGCACCCCAACUUUCCACCAGCCGGAAGAAAGCUACACUCCUCAGCCUGAGGCAGGUGCUUUCUUCCAGGCCAUCUUCUACCUUCCUGAAGUGCCUUCUCCUGGUCCUUUGGUCCCUUCCUUUGUCUCAGCUGCAUGUGCAAGAUUUUAUAGAAAGUAAAGACAAUCCUUCCAUUACCAGGGUAUGCAGGGCCCUGGAGGAUGUAUUGUUGGAAUUCUGUGGCUUUCUUUCCUUUAAGAAUGUACAGA